UACGUAGGGGGCAAGCGUUGUCCGGAAUCAUUGGGCGUAAAGAGCGCGUAGGCGGCCCUGUAAGCCCGCUGUGAAAGUCAAGGGCUCAACCCUUGGAUGCCGGUGGAUACUGCAGGGCUAGAGUUCGGAAGAGGCGAGUGGAAUUCCUGGUGUAGCGGUGAAAUGCGCAGAUAUCAGGAGGAACACCGAUGGCGAAGGCAGCUCGCUGGGACGAUACUGACGCUGAGGAGCGAAAGCGUGGGGAGCGAACAGG
rnacentral:rRNA from 1 species